UGGGGAAUAUUGGACAACGGGCGAAAGCCUGAUCCAGCAAUGCCGCGUGAGUGAUGAAGGCCUUAGGGUUGUAAAGCUCUUUUACCAGGGAUGAUAAUGACAGUACCUGGAGAAUAAGCUCCGGCUAACUCCGUGCCAGCAGCCGCGGUAAUACGGAGGGAGCUAGCGUUGUUCGGAAUUACUGGGCGUAAAGCGUACGUAGGCGGUGACUCAAGUCAGAGGUGAAAGCCUGGAGCUCAACUCCAGAACUGCCUUUGAAACUAGGUCGCUAGAAUCACGGAGAGGUGAGUGGAAUUCCGAGUGUAGAGGUGAAAUUCGUAGAUAUUAGGAAGAACACCGGUGGCGAAGGCGGCUCACUGGCUCGAUACUGACACUGAGGUGCGAAAGCGUGGGGAGCAAACAGGAUUAGAUACCCCCGUAGUCCCUGAGCGGGCUGGCAAGGCGCAU
rnacentral:rRNA from 1 species